rnacentral:lncRNA from 1 species
AUCUACCCUAAAAUCAGGGAUCUAUAAAGAGUAUUUAUUUCAGCUUCAAACUUUCAUGCCUGUGAAAUGAGUAAACUUCUUUACAGUGAAUGCUAUCCAUUGUCAGUUCUUGGGAUCUAAGUGCCUUUGCUUUGUAGGUGGAAAAGGAUGGAUGGAACUAUUUCAAUUUGUUGAGACAUUAGAGCGCCUGUAAAACAAUACAUUUAUGAUCUAUUUUAUGAUGUGAUUAAAGCUACUUGCCAAUAAGUGUGUUGGUUCCGUCGUCAUAGUUUGGAAGUCCAGUGCAUCGCACAUUUAGAAUGUUAAACUUGCUUCCUUUUCUCUUCUUGAAUCUGAAAAAAUUUUUAGAACAUAGAAUUGGAAGGGAUUUUGAAUAUGAUAUGUAAUCUUUCACUUUAUAUGAAUUGUGGUAUCUCCACACACAAAAAAAUAAUAUGUGAUGUCCUUUGGACUUUUUAAAAAUAACUUUUCAGUAAGCAGUUCCCUUCUAGGUUUUGGGAGCAAAAACUCAGAAUUAAUAAAAAUUAAAAGAUUAUACAAAAAAGAAUCAUAGGUGACAAUAUGUCUCAGGAUGGUGAAUUGAAUUUUGUGUUGGCAUUUUAAUAAUAUAUGAACUCACUCAAUCAUGUAGUAGAACCAACAGUUGAGAAAUUUGAAAGGAAUAAUAUCAGGUUAUUAUCCGAUUCAUAGACUGGAUUUUUCUUACUUGGUUCAUGACUCUACUGAAUCUAUGUGUUGUGGGUGGUGCAAACUUUUUUCUUUCAUUUCUUCUUAGAGCGUCCCUGGGGAGUCAUUUGGUAAAUGUUUUUAAGCCUUCCAUAAUAAUUAUCUCUGAGCCCUAAUGCUUUCUGGUUUGGGCACGUCUUCAUUCUCCAAUUCAAGGAAGGAGUUCAGAAUGACUUCCAGUUGUAAAAUGAAAUACUAAUCUAAUUUACCACUUAUUUUCUGUUUGUGUGGUCUUGGCAAACUUUACUGGGCUGGCAGGGCACGCAGUUUCAGGGAGAAAUGAGAGCCUGUCUCAACUGUGCUUCCAGCCUUGCCUGUUAGCUUAGAGUUUUACCAGAAUUUAGGGACAGUCCACAGAUACAUCAAAUAUCUCCAAGACCAUGCUGUAUAGACACUGAGAACGCAGGCCUUUGUAAGAUGUCAAGUUCAGGAAUAAUAUACUUAAAUUAUUUUAGAACUGGAGGUUUUAAUCAUUUAGAAUGUUGACUUUUUUCCUGCAUGUGCAUAUAUGUGCAUGAACACUUAUGUAUGUGAAACAUGUGUGUGUGUGCCAUGGCUUUCACGGAAAGGACAAAGGAUGGCCUCGGGCAUUGGUCCUUACCUUCUGUCUUGUCUGAGAGCGUCAAACAGGGAAAGUAAUAGCCUACAAGCUUCUGGAGGUUCCUUUGUCUCUGCUUCUCAUCUCUCUGUAGGAACACUGGGAUUACAGACCCUCUCAUGCUAGGUGUCCAGUUUUUAUGUGAAGACUGGAGAUUCAAAUUCAGAUCCUCCUUCCUGUAUGUCAAUCACCAUUGGCCCCGCCCCUCAUUUAGAAAGGUCUCCGAAGAAGGGAUCCCCACAUUUGCUCAGUGCGUGAUGAAGUUUCUUUACACCAUUAAUGGUAUGCUAGUUUUUUCCGUUUAUAGAAAAUUAAAGAAAUUAUUUAAAAAAUUAAUCAGCAUCUUUAAAAUGUGGACUCAUUUUUAAAUAUAAUAGUUGUUGUUAACCUUUAUAUCUGACUUUGUAUUUCUAUCACCUGCUCACUUCCAGACAAUCGAAAAUCUGACUACUUAAAACAAAAGUUCUUUUUUCUAGGCUGAAGGGAAAGGUCAGUGACUAAGAGUGUCCAUUGCCCUAUCAGAGGACGAGAGUUCAGAUCCGAGCACCCAUAGCAGGUAGCUUACAAAUGUCUAUAACUAGCUCAAAGGAUCUGACACCCCUUUCUGGUCUUUGUGGAAACCCACACAUGUGCAUGCUUGUGCCAUGUUAAUGUACAUAUGUAUACAUACACUCACAGUUGAGCGCACACACAGAUACACAGACACGUGCACACACAAAUGAAAAAUAAAAUAAAUCUUAGGAGUUCUUUUUUCUUAAAGAAAAGUGUUAGUCUUCUUUCGCGACCUGCCUGCCUGGGUUAUAAUUUGAGUCUUUGAGGGCUUUUUCUGUGAUCUUUGGCUUUGGAGAAGUCAGGCUACAUUUAGCUAAAACCAGAUGAGAAUCUAAUCUGCACCUCCACAUUGCUCCUUUAACUGGUAAUUGAAAUAGAUGGUUGAACUGGGGGUUGGGGGGAGAUGCUGAUCUUAUUGCCUGGACCACGGCUGCAUGCUCGUUUCUUAUGCUUCUUCAUAUGAAUUUACAAUGCUGAAAAUGGAUAUAUGCUGAGUAUAUGAAAUAAAACAUUUUAUUAGAAUGAUAAUUAAAGGAACAAUCUUCAUCAUUACACUCACUAAAUCAUAUAACAUAUUGAUAUUAAUACUUGAUAGAGCGGUUUUUCUCCAAUCUUUAUUAGAUUCCUCCCAAAAAAUAAUAGAAUUCUAUAAUCAUAAAUUCAAGCC